UACGAAGGGGGCUAGCGUUGUUCGGAAUUACUGGGCGUAAAGCGCACGUAGGCGGAUAUUUAAGUCAGGGGUGAAAUCCCAGAGCUCAACUCUGGAACUGCCUUUGAUACUGGGUGUCUAGAGUAUGGAGGAGGUGAGUGGAAUUCCGAGUGUAGAGGUGAAAUUCGUAGAUAUUCGGAGGAACACCAGUGGCGAAGGCGGCUCACUGGUCCAUUACUGACGCUGAGGUGCGAAAGCGUGGGGAGCAAACAGG
rnacentral:rRNA from 1 species